rnacentral:rRNA from 1 species
GACGAACGCUGGCGGCGUGCCUAAUACAUGCAAGUCGAACGCAGUGGGGACGGGUGAGUGACACGUGGGUAACCUCCCAUCAGAGGGGAUAACACUUGGAAACAGGUGCUAAACCGAUAGUGUUGGAUGGACCCGCGGUGCAUUAGCUAGUUGGUGGGGUAACGGCUCACCAGGGCCACGAUGCAGAGCCGGCCUGAGAGGAUGAUCGGCCACACUGGGACUGAGACACGGCCCAGACUCCUACGGGAGGAAGCAGUAGGGAAUCUUCGGCAAUGGACGAAAGCCUGAUCGAGCAACGCCGCGUGAGUGAAGAAGGUUUUAGGAUCGUAAAACUCUGUUGUUAGAGAAGCGGUAUCUAACCAGAAAGCAACGGCUAACUACGUGCCAGCAGCCGCGGUAAUAC